GUAGGUGGCAAGCGUUGUCCGGAAUUAUUGGGCGUAAAGCGCGCGCAGGCGGUCCUUUAAGUCUGAUGUGAAAGCCCACGGCUCAACCGUGGAGGGUCAUUGGAAACUGGGGGACUUGAGUACAGAAGAGGAAAGCGGAAUUCCAAGUGUAGCGGUGAAAUGCGUAGAGAUUUGGAGGAACACCAGUGGCGAAGGCGGCUUUCCGGUCUGUAACUGACGCUGAGGCGCGAAAGCGUGGGGAGCAAACAGGAUUAGAUACCCUGGUAGUCCACGCCGUAAACGAUGAGUGCUAAGUGUUAGGGGGUUUCCCGCCCCCCUUAGUGCUGCAGCUAACGCAUUAAGCACUCCGCCUGGGGGAGUACGGCCCGCAAGGCUG
rnacentral:rRNA from 1 species